GACGAACGCUGGCGGCGCGCCUAACACAUGCAAGUCGAACGAGCGAGAGAGAGCUUGCUUUCUCAAGCGAGUGGCGAACGGGUGAGUAACGCGUGAGGAACCUGCCUCAAAGAGGGGGACAACAGUUGGAAACGACUGCUAAUACCGCAUAAGCCCACGACCCGGCAUCGGGUUGAGGGAAAAGGAGCAAUUCGCUUCAGGAUGGCCUCGCGUCCAAUUAGGUAGAUGGUGAGGUAACGGCCCACCAUGCCGACGAUUGGUAGCCGGACUGAGAGGUUGAACGGCCACAUUGGGACUGAGACACGGCCCAG
rnacentral:rRNA from 1 species